AACGCACAUUGCGCCCUUGGGUAUUCCUGAGGGCAUGCCUGUUUGAGAACCUUGACGUACCUCACCUCCCCAGCAUGGUGUUCAUUCAUCUUGUUGAGUUGGUGGAUCUGGGCCUUUGUCUUUUCAUUCCAAUUGAGAAGUGGCCUUAAUUGCAGAUUCGUUUUGCCCUUAGUGCAAGGACAAGACCUGAAUCCAAAGACUGAGAUUAAUAACCUUCAUUGGUUUUCUCUUAUCGUCGAUACGGAUUCUUGUUUGAGUACUUGCACGCUUGAGGGGCCGUCAAAUCUAAAUGCCAGUUUGCCAUGUCAAUGACAGAGAAACUGAACAUCUGGUCUCAAAUCAGACAAGAGUACCCGCUGAACUUAA
rnacentral:misc_RNA from 1 species